rnacentral:rRNA from 1 species
UACGAAGGGGGCGAGCGUUGUUCGGAUUUACUGGGCGUAAAGGGCGCGCAGGCGGCUCAUUUUGUCAGGCGUGAAAGCCCCGGGCUUAACCUGGGAACUGCGUUUGAUACGGAUGGGCUAGAGUUCGGGAGAGGAGAGUGGAAUUCCCAGUGUAGAGGUGAAAUUCGUAGAUAUUGGGAAGAACACCGGUGGCGAAGGCGGCUAUCUGGACCACAACUGACGCUGAGGCGCGAAAGCGUGGGGAGCAAACAGG